AAAAUUUGCCCUGGGUGAGGAUCUGUGUGUAAUUUUUUUGCAUGCUCACACAUACAUUCAUUUGCAUGUUUAAACGUGUGCCUAAGAGCUUAUUACAUACUAAACUUGUAAUUCGCACGCACACACACAUAGACACACACAAAUACACACACACACACACACACACACACACACACACACAAAGCCACGAAAAAUUGCAUAUAUUUGUGCUGUGAACUACGAAAAGUUCUUUUGUACAGGGCAAAAAUAAUUUCUUUAGGAUGCUAGCUGAUAUCGUGGAUAGUUUUAUUCUUGCGUAGAUGUAGCGUAGAUGUAUAUUUUAUUUAAUUUGGUUUCUGUUAUGUCUGCCGAUGGAAUAUUGGUAAACAGAUAUAUAGUGUCAACUUCGUUGGUAUAUUUGGUGAUUUUAAAGAACUCAGAUGACAGUAAAAUGAAUUGUUGUGCCUUUGUAUAUUUAUUUACAGUAUCAUGGAUGGAGGACGAAUUGUUUUGUUUGUGUAUUUAAUUCUUCCGUAGAUAUGUGCUAGAGUGGAUUCUCUUUGAAUCCAAGACAAAAAACAAACAAAAAACCCCAUUAGUGCGUUGAACGCUGUAAUUAGUUUAUUUAAUUUCACUUUUCUUUGGAUGAUAUAAUCUUUCUAAAAAUGUGAUUGUCAUUAAUUAGAUUUAUCAUUAAUUUUAGUAAUAUAUUCGUCUUUCUCCAAGAAUAUGAAUAUAGGAUUUUGGUCACUCUUACAAAUAUUGAUUUUGUUAGUUUUUAAACCAUGCACGUUGAAUAUUUGUUUAUGAACUGAGUGGAUAUCUAUUUAUAUUAUGUCCACCUUAGAGGAAGUCAUGACGUUUAUUGUCUAGGUUUAUAAGAAAGUUAUGAGAAAUUAACGUAGGCUUUAUAAAAACUCUUUAGUUAACUUCAACUCUCGGAACAACACAAUUCCACCAGUAAUAAAAUGACAUCAUUUCCAGACAUAAACAUUCGCUAGAAAAUAACGGAUGUGUCAUGUCUAUUUACGCCAAAGACACAAAUAAAUGCUUUGAAUUCGUUAUUGAAUUUGAUCUUAUGUAUGCGUCGCCGUCGCAUGCCAGAAAAUAGUUUUUACACAGUUUAUAUAUAAUCAUAGACUGGCAAUUCGAUUCGUCCCUGGAUCCAUUCAGGUGAUGUAGAUAAGCUACAAAAAAUGAGGAAAUGUUGGUAUUCAUCACUCCUGGAUUUGAUUGGAGGCGAGUUGCCUCGCCUGUCUAUGACUUUCAGGUGUUUUAAUACCCAGCAUUAUGAAGCAGUCGUCGCAUAUAUAUACAUACACGUACACACACACACAUAUAUAUAUAUAUACUAGCAGUGUGGCCCGGCGUUGCUCGGGUUUGUAAGGGAAAUAACUAUAAAGCAUUUUUAGAGAGUUAUAGCCAAAAAAUGGAAAAAAAAUGAUGGUAAAUUUUUUUUUAGUUAAAAAGGUUGAGUUGCGUCCCCUAGACAAUCUGUGGUUUGUGUUUCUAAUUCUCGACCCCAUGUCGAAUUUAUCGAUUUUUUUUCAGAACUGGGGGAACUUUUCAAAAUUUUCGCUGCGUUAGUUUUGAAUUAUGACAUUGGGCUAUGUGUGUGUCAAGUUUCAUCAGAAUCGGUUGAAAGCCGUGGUCAGGGUGAGGGUACAAGCUAACAGACACACAGAAACACACACAGACAAACUGCCGUUUAUAUAUAGAGAGAGAUAUAUCAUAAUAAUCCAUGGAUGCAUUACUGUAUAUAUAUAUAUAUAUAUAUAUAUAUAUAUAUAUAUAUAUAUAUAUAUAUAUAUAUACAUAUAUAUAUAUAUAUAUAUACAUACAUAUAUAUAGCAAAGAAGGGCUGAGGUUCCCUACAACUGUUUCAGACGUGUUUUUCUUAUUUAUUUACAUUAUUUACAUUUGACGGAUAUUUUCCUCAUCUUGUUUGUUGUUAACACACUGUUUCGGCUGAUAUACCUUCCAGCCUUCAUGAGGUGUUUUGGGGAAAUUUCGAACCUGUGAAAUUUCAAACUCCUGGGAAAUUUCGAACUUGGGGAAAUUCCUCAUCUCUUAAAUUCCUCAUCUCUUAAAUAUAGAACUGUGUUUUUUAUUGAUGAACAAAUCAAUUACAUCAUGUAAAAAAAAAAAAACUUUCUUCAGGUGAAUGAAAAUAAAAAAGAAUUUUACAUUUAGGAUUUUUAUACAGAUAAUAUAGGAUGCAUAUAGACUAUCUUAUCUCGGUGUCGGUAUCUCUCAUCUGCAUGCCGGAGUAUACUCUUCUGUGAUUUUACGUAUACGUUGGAUAUAUUUGGUCGAUACUCGUGCAGGUUAUCGUAACUUAAAGGACAAAUCUGUAUUUACUUUAGUAAGUACAUGAGUGUCCGCAUACGCUGCUGAAAUACAGGUAUGCUGUCCUCAACUCAGUUUUGGUGUCUUUGUUAUUAAAAUACAUCGAUCCUAUUGCAUCCUUAAAAUAAUAAUUAUAAAAAGUUUAAAUAAUGGUUUGAGUUGAUUGUCUAGAGAACUGUAUUCUGAUAUUUAGGUUGAGUAGACGAUUACAUUUUAAACUUAAUGAAAUAAAUAAGGACAACUGGAAAUAGUUGUUAAUAUGUAAGAACAUUCGUUCUUUCAAAUCCCACCGGGGUCGACUUAGUCUUUCAUCUUUGCAGAGCCAAUAAAAUAAGUACUUACUCCAAAAUUACUGCCCUUGUGCCAAAUUUUGAAAGCAAUAUGUAGGAACAUUCUUAAAUUAAUAACUAUUAAAGGAUUAAAUCAAGAACAAUUCUUAGGUUCACAUAGAAUAAUGGUGUAAGUUCCGUGAAUAUAGUUCUAAUGAAUAUGUGAAGAAUGAUGAAAGCCUUUUAUCAAUUAUAAGGUAGAUAAUGAAUGACGAAAAAUUAUCUCGAAAAUAAUCUUUAGUCAAUAUAUAAGAACAAACUCAAGUUUUAAUUAUUAAUAUUUAAGAUCAGGGAAAAUUCUUAAGUCCACACCUAAUAAACGAAGAAAGAAGUCUUAGGGGUAUAUCACAUAGGUAUAUGUGUAUGUUUGUUUGUGUGUGUGUGUGUGUGUGUGUGCGGGUGCGCACGUACGUUUGCGUAUGUGUUUGCGCAUGCACACAUACAAAUAUCUGUUCAAACGACAUGUGCAGAACAUGUAACAUACAUUUAUCUGCAUGCAAAAAUGUGUGGUGUUUACAUGUUUUCAUUGUCAUAUGUAUAAAACCCAACUCAGCAAAGAAGGCAGCUAUUGUUAAUGGAGUUUUAGUUUCGAUGAACAAAUAAUCCUGAAAAUCUUAGUUAAUAACAUUAGUAAGCAUAUAACCAGCUUAUCCUCUGACGAGAAAUCCUUUAGCCGUGCGGCUCAUCGUUAUAAUGGCGCAUUAAAUGAUAAUGGCAUCAAAAAUAGAAUGCGUUACAUACAGAACAACGCUAAUAUUCAUAAACGCAGGAAUAUUAAAGAACAAUACAAAAACCUUGCAAAACAAACGUUGAGAUAAACCUCACAAAAGACUGAAUGCUUGCUCUUAUGUUGCUAGGAUUUUACAAGACUCUCUAUAUUAGAAUUUCUCUGUGCGUCAUAAAUAUUACAAGGUCUUUAAUAGAAAUAGUACUUAGGUGAGCUACAGUUGCACUAAAAACUUACCUGCUGCUGAGUCUCUUUUGAACAUAUUUGAAACGCCCAUAUUCAUCCAUAAUAUUCAACUAGCUUCUCCACUCUCAGGUUUCGCUCCUUGUCUCAACUUAUAACAUUUUUUUGUCUUUUAUAUCGAGCUAGAAAUUACUUAUUGAACUGGACCAUGUAAAAUCCUUUACUUCAUUGACAGGAAAUUCUUUCAGUCGGACACAUUUAAGAUAAACAGCAAACCAACAAAAUAAAAUGGUCAAUAAAAUGGCAGUUACUUAUUUCUCAGUGGAGCAUAAAUAAAUAGAGUAUAAAAUAUGAAUUUAAGAAAAGAAAAUUAUUUUCCAUAGUAAUAUGAGUGCAGUGAAAGGAAGAGAAGGGAAGUUGCUUUUGUAUAUAGAAGAAACCACAAGUUCAGACGAAUAUAUAUAUAUAUAUAUAUAUAUAUAUAUAUAACCACUGUGAUCGACCAGGCUAUCAGAUGUUGCUACACAUCGCUGGUUACAAUGCGCUUCGCAUUGUUUUAGCCUUCGAAUGACGCCACCCCGCCGGCUAAGCGAGCAGGCCAUCAGAAGAAAGAGUGAGAGAAAGUUAUGGCGAAAGAGUACAGCAGGGAUCGCCCACCCCCCUGCCGGAACCUCGUGGAGCUUUAGGUGUUUUCGCUCAAUAAGCACACUCACAACGCCCCUCAAGGAAUCGAAACCGCGAUCCUACGACCGAUAGUCCGCUGUCCUAACCACUGGGCCAUUACGCCUCCACACACACACACACACACACACACACACACACAUAUAUAUACAUAUAUAUAUAUAUUUAUAAUUUAUCUUUUAUCCUUUGAUUGUUUCAGCCAUUAGUCUGUGGCCAUGCUGGGGCACUGCCUUGACGAAUUUUAAUCAAACUAAUCGACCCCAGUACAUUUUAAGCCUGAUACUUAGUCUAGCGGACUCUUUUUGCCGAGCCACUAAGUCAAAAACACCAACACUGGUUGUCAAGAGGUCCACGCGCAAGGCUUUGGUUGGCGCGCGGCUAUGGUUGGCGCGCGGCUAUGGUAGAAGACCUUGUCCAAGGCGCCACGCAGUGAUAGUGGGCCUGGAACCAUGUGGUUGGGAGGCGAAAGUCUUACCAUACAGCCGCAUAUAUAUAUAUAUAUAUAUACACACACACACACACAUAUAUAUAUAUAUAUAUAUAUAUACAUAUCACGAGCAAAGACGCUAGUUCUGAAAUCUCUAAACAAGAUAUAAGUAGUAACAAUACUCGACGGAUUUCGUUUUUUUGCCACUACAAUAUGGCUGUUCUACAAAGAACUGUGUUACUACAGUUUAACCUCAAGAAAGUAUCUUUUCCAGCUGGUUAACGACAUACAAACUGUGUCCGAUAUAUUGUGAGUAAGGGGGCGAAUCACUCCCCUCCAGCUUGUCAAGACCAAUAGGCCAUAGUUUUUGAAUCUUUACCUUUCUUCGGUACUGGAUGCCUGCCUGUUAGAGAUGGCAGCCAAUCGUCCCUACUCACGAUAUAUAAACAGAGGAGCGGCAGACAGCCGCUAAUCUCGUAACCGGCGAACUUGCUAGUUCUAAACAUCUCUAAACGAGAUAUAAGUAGAAACAAUACCAGACGAUAACGUCUUUUUUUCUUUUUGCCACUAUAACAUGGCUGUUCUAUAAAGAACAAUGUUUCUACAGCUAGGGUUAAAAUGUAGUAACAUAGUUCUUUAUUGAACAGCCAUGUUGUAGUGGCAAAAAACGUUAAUACAUAUACAUACAUACAUACAUACAUACAUAUAUAGAUAUAUACAUACAUGUACGUGCGUGCGUCCAUACGUGCGUUCGUGUGUGUGUGUGUGUGUGUGUGUGUGUGUGUGUGUGUGUGUGUGCUCGUUCUCGGUAACAAGGUUGUGAAGGAAAGAAUCUUCUUAUAACCAUCAUUCCUUAAAUCUUAACAAGGUCUUGCAGAUUUUUAUAGUCCCAUAUAUGAAUUAAGGAUUUGCUUUAUCUCCCCCAAGAUACCAAGUUUAGCUAUACUUUGCUGUUUCCGUUGGCGUUUCUGGGGCGAUUUUUCAUCUCACUCUGAUAUUUAUUGUUUUUUUUUACAAAGAACGUCCAUAAGAGAUGUUAUUUCAGGACAAAUCAGACAUCCCUAGCCUAUAAACGGUGUACAUACAUUAAGUAUGAUACAUAGAAGGAUAUUUUAACUUAAUACUACCUCAAUUGCCAAUACGGCAUUUUAUUCCGUCGGGCAGCUAUUUGUAACAUCAAGGAAUACUUUAUUCAGUGUUUUCUAUACUUGAAACGAUGAUUUCUCAUACAAGCAUGCGACUGGCUGCGAGUAAACGUCGUUCUUCCUGGUCGCUCGUGGGGUGAUUUCUUUAGUCUCCCUUUGAUAUUUAUUCUGUUUAAACACAGCAGGUCUAUAUAUAUAUAUGUGUGUAUAUAUAUAUAUAGACUGCAAGAACUCAAAAACACCCUAAUUGACAGACAUUACCCAGCUCAACUCAUAGAGGAUGGGAUCAGACGUGCAACAGAAAUCAACAUAGAAACUUUAAGAAAAGUUCAACACAACAACACACCUUCCCCGAAAAUACUACAUACAACCUCAGAAACAAAGAAGCCUUCACCAUCAUCACCCAGAAUUUACCAAUACUUCAUAAGGACCCCAAAUUAAAGGAAAUUCUAAACAUACACCAAAUCAUUAAAAGCUACAAACAACCUAAAUCACUUAAAAAGUUUCUCACAAAGGCAAAAUUGUUUUCUGAAAUUACGGAUGCAAAAGUAAAAAAAUGUGGUAGACCGAACUGUGCAACAUGUCCAAACCUGCUAGAAGGAUCAGAAUUCCUCUUCAAAGAGGGACAGAAAUUCAAGACCAAAUCUAAUUUUACUUGUGCCUCUGAAAACAUAAUUUAUGUCAUAAAAUGCUCGGGCUGCCACCAAGACUACGUGGGGUCCACGGGACUAUUACUCAGACGUAGAUGCACACUGCAUCGACAACAGAUUGCAUUCCCAGAAUACAGAAUGAUACCCUUUAGUGAGCACAUUGAGAAAUGCGCAAAGCAACUACUACCACCAUUUUUAAUCUUUCCAUUUUACCAAUGUGCUAUCGGAACACCAACACAAAUUAGACUAAACAAGGAAACAUUCUUCAUUGAAAAAUGCAAGCCCAAACUUAACCAUUCCAACAUACUUUUACAGAGAAAUUCACUCCAAAAGAAAGGUAAAAAAAAUUUAAGCGAUUAUCUCCCUUACACCGGAAGAAAUCACUUAUUACCUCCCCUUAUCUGGAACUCUUCUCAACAUAAACAUAACGAUGUAAGAAAUUUGAAAAGCUGAACGCGAAACCGGUCAUUUCUUCUAAACUAUGUCAUUGUAAGAAAAAAAUUUAUAACAUUCUUCAGACAUAUUGACUCAAAUAUAUAUUUUUUAACCUUUUAAAACAAGCCUUCUGUAGUUUUUUCACUUUUUACUAUUUUCUCUAUAUAUAUAUGUAUAUAUAUAUAUAUAUAUAUAUAUAUAUAUAUAUCAAUCAUAAGAAUAGGGAUUCAAAGAAUCAAACAGUGCUCGGAGUACACCUCUCCACCUGGUUAGUAUAUAUUUAUCGAGAAAGCUUGUGGUUAAGGCUAGGGUGGCGCUCAGAAAAUCCAGGAAUCGCAAUGAGGGAGAGUAAGUGCAAAAAUUGACCAGAUAAGAGAAUUGAUGUUUAUGCCAUUAGUUCACAAUUGUUUCGUAAUUUGUGUUAGUUAUGUAAUUGACACUACACUGUCCGCCACACAUAUAUAAAUGAAUAUACCUAUGUAUGUAUGUUUAAUACACCCACAAAUAUAAUGGUGCUGUAACAUAACGAACAAACUACACUUUAGAAUAUUUCAUGCUAUAAAUAGCAAAUAAUUUCAUCAUAUAGUUACAGACAAUAAAUAUAUUCUACAGAGUUCAUUCUUUACAAAUACUAGAAUUACCAUUUAUGAAGUGCAUUAAUGAAGCGAUAACAAUAGAUAAAUACGAAUUCAGAAAAAGAAUUCAACAAAAUAAAGUAAAUACAAUAAAAUCGAAACACUAAAAUAUAAAAUAAGAAAGAUUAAGUUUAUCGUAAAGAUUUGCUUCUAAAGAUUUGGCUGACCAUCCCGUAGUAUUUAUACGCAACCCCCUGCCGCCCCUAUAAUGAAAAAUAGAGAAUAAGAUAAAUAAAUAAAAAUAAAGGAAUGAAAUGUAUGGAGAAAAUGAAGGAAAACAAGUAGCGGUUUAAAUUUCGUGAUAGGAGGACAGGUUUGUGAAAGACAAUGUGUUUGUUUUAGUAGAGGUAUUUAGGUGCACUGCAAAGCAGCUUAAACUUUUGGAAUUUCACACACGGCUGAUUGAGAAGGACAGAAAUGUCACUCCAAGACAAUUGAUAACGACACCAGCAUACGCUCACAUACACAUCAUAUGCUUAUUUUCAGGCACAUUCAUAUACAUGGCGUCAUCUACACACGGUCUCACGUACACCAUUUCUAGCACAAAAUGUUUAUUUAAAAUAGUAAUUUCAUCAAUCUAUACCAUUAUUUUCGUACAUAUACACACAUACAAAUUUUACGUAUUUAUACGCAUACAUAUACAGACGAAAUGUACUACACACACACACACACACGCUCACACUCACACACACACACACACACACACACACACACACAUACACACACACACAUUAGAAUGAAAGAUGCGGGAGCAGAGGGCUAGAAUAUUCUUAAGUAUUGAACCUGACCUGGAAAAUUAUAAGACAAGUAGUAAUUUAGUCUGGAAAAGUACAGGGAAGGAGAAAAAAAAUAUUACUGCUGAAAUUAGAAUUUGCUAAGUAAAUUUCUGAAAUUGCACAUCGUUUGUGUGUGUGUCUCCAUUGUGUCUACAUUGCCUGAAAAAAGUAGACUAGAAUGAAAAAUGUGGGUCAGAGAGCUAGAAUAUUCUGAAGUACUUGACCUGGGAAAGUACAGGAGAUGCAGUACUUAAACCCGAAAAAGUACAGGACAAGAAAUCAAAGAACUUAUAUAAAAAAUAUUACCUUAAAAAUUUAAAAACUUUGCAAUAAGAAGCAAAUAUAAAAAAAACCCCGAAAAAGUGCACGCACAGUUUGAUGAACAAUUUCAGAAAUAAUUUUUCAUCUCAAUUUUACCAAACAUCUUCAGCUUCAUUUUCCUCUGCUUUUGUUUGGUUACUAGGUACAUAUCUGGUUAAUAUCGUACUGUUUUAUUUUUUUUACAGUGUACUGACAGUCAACAUAUUAAAAGCAGUAAAGGAAAUCAUUGAUAAAUUCCUCAGAUGAUUGUCUUUGAAGUUGAUAGAGCUUUUUAACAUCUUUUCGUUUCAUCUUGAUUUGACACUUUCUGGACCAGUGAAGAUAUUGAACCUUCCUUCAGCCUUAGGAAAAAUGGACAUUUUUUUGACCACAUGUUUUUCUUAUUCAUAAAUUCUCCAGAGAGUUUUGCUGCAUAGAUGCAUUUGAAAACGACUGAACAAAUUGUAAAGAGUGGGGUUGGAUAUUGAGCAUGACAGUCUGCAAGUAACAUAUUGCUCUGUAAAUUUUUGAAUUUUUUCCUGGAGUGUAUGAACAUAACUAAAAUAAGUUUAAACCCAGGGAUUAAUAACAUUAAUAAAAUUAAUUGAAGAAUA
rnacentral:lncRNA from 1 species